rnacentral:antisense_RNA from 1 species
CAGUACGACAUUGCUCACAUUGCUUCCAGUAUUUCUUGCCCACCUCGUGUGGGCUUUUUUUU